ACUUGAGGUCAGGAGCUCGAGACCUGCCUGGCCAACAUGGUGAAACCCUGUCUCUACUAAAAAUAUAAAAAUUAGCUGGGCGUGGUGGCAUGCACCUGUAGUCCCAGCUACUCAGGAGGCUGAGGCAGGAGAAUAACUUGCAUCCAGCAGGUGGAGGUUGCAGUGAGCUGAGAUUGCACCACUGCAUUCCAGCCUAGACAACAGAGAGAGACUCCAUCUAAAAAAAAAAAAAAGAAAAAAAAAAAUUCUCGUAGCCAAGGAGGACGCAUUAAUUGUGCUCAGGAAUAAUUGCCACAUCAGAUACAAAGUGAGAAGCCACGUUAUGAAGGGACACAGAGAUGCUAGAUUAGCCAAGACUCUUGGUCAAAAGUGAUACGUGUGCCUGCUCCAAUUGGCUUAAGCAAUAAAGGGAGGUUAUUAGCUCCUAAAUCUAGUGAGGUUUCAGGUAUGGCUUGAUCAGGGUGUUCAAAUGAUGUCAUCAGAAAUCCCUCCAUCAUUACCCUCUGGUUUUCUCUGAGUCAACUUAAUUCCCUGCUGGCAUGAUGGCCACCAAGAGCUUUAGGCUUAUAUCCUGCCAGCUUAGCAACUCCAACUCAAAGAGCACCACUUUUUCAAUGAUUUUAGCCAAAAUUCCAAGACUUGUCUCAGACCAACCUGAAUCAUGUGCCUGCUCUUGAACAAAGCACAGUAGCCAGGGAAAAAUUGUGCUUUGAUUGUCUAGGACUGGAUCCUGGACCUGCCCCUGGGACUUGCAGAAGGGGACAGCUCAAUCUGAGCCAUAUCAACUGAGAACACAGGAAGCAUGGUCCAACCAAGAGAUGUCUAUUCCAGAUCUUGUGAAAUCAGUGACCUCUGGGUCAUGUAGAAACCCAGCACAUUCCCACAGGACACAGCCUAGCAGUUGAUCAGAGCAAUAGUUCAUACCUGAGACCCUGGAUUUUCAGACCCUCCCCCAGCCCCCACCAGCCUCUGUCAGUGCCAAGCUGGACGGAACAAACCACAUGAGGACUCAUUCAGCCCCAGCUCAGAGGACUGUUUCAUGGGUACUGGUGGCAGGAAUUCUUGGUUGUCUUCAAUGUCUGGAUCCCCGAUUUUCGGUAGGGAACAUGGUCAGCAGAAUGAGGACGGCAUUUCCUACCUUCUACUGCAGGUGGGCAGAGCCAAGGUGCCCUCCCUACACCUUCCUGGGGCCGCCAGCGAUCCUGAGCUCAUCCUCCUGACCUGCAGACCCCUCGGCUCUGGCCCUCACGUCCUGCUUGCUGUACCUGCUUUAUCCCAUGUCACCAUCUCCAUUCCCCAGCAUGGUGACAAUCCCAUUCCGCCCCAUUCCUACCCAUUCCACUGGCUUCUCCAUUUGGCUUGGAGCUCUUUAGCUGGAUUGAGACGACUACUCUGAUGAGUGCCAUGUCACUGGCUCAACAAAAUGGGCCCAAGUGAGUCAAUGUUAUUGACAUGAAGGUGCUGUCAGUUUGGUGGGGACCAAGGGAAUGAGACUGUGUUUUAGCUGCAUUUGUUUGAACAGUUACACACUUAGGGCUUCUUAUGCGGAUGCUCAGAGAGAAAUAUGGAAGACGAGAUCUCAUAGAAAACAAGAAGACAUGUUGUAAAUGAGUCAGGCCUCCUGGAGUCCAGGACUAGGGAGGAACUCUCUAUUGAGGAUCACUCGAGGGAGUCUUGGGGCUUGUGGUCUUCACGCCACAGCCCCAUAACUCAGCUCCUCUCUUCCUUCUCUCAGUCUGUCUGCUUCUGUUUUUUGUCUCAUGUCCUAAAUGUCCAACUAUUCAGCAUAACUUUAUUCUGCUUCCCCUCUCUAUCCUCUGUAGCAAAAUGCACUAUUGGAAUUACAUUUUUUUAUUUUUAUUUUUAUUUUUUUUGAGACGGAGUCUCACUCAUUGCCUAGGCUGGAAUGCAGUGGUGUGAUCUCGGCUCACUGCAACCUCCAUCUCCCAGGUUCAAGUGAUUCCUCUGCCUCAGCCUCCUGAGUAGCCGGGACUACAGGAGUCUACCACCAUGCCCAGUUAAUUUUUGUAUUUUUAGUAGAGACGGGAUUUCACCAUGUUGGCCAAGGUGGUCUCGAACCCCUGACCUCAGAUGAUCCGCCUGCCUUGGCCUCCCAAAAUGCUGGGAUUACAGGCAUGAGCCAAUGUGCCCAGCUGGAAUUAAAUUAAUAAUUUUUAUUUCUGCUUUAGCGAGAGAGGUGGUGACUCACUGAUACAAGGAAGAUAUUUCCCCUUCCAAGGGUGAUUUAUUCAGCUUUUGGGUUUAAAAGGAGAUGCUAUCAGGCACGCGUGGCUAUCUUGGUAGAUUACAUAAAAACA